CGCGGGGUGGAGCAGUCUGGUAGCUCGUCGGGCUCAUAACCCGAAGGUCAUAGGUUCAAAUCCUAUCCCCGCCACCA
rnacentral:tRNA from 3 species